rnacentral:rRNA from 1 species
AUUGAACGCUGGCGGCAGGCCUAACACAUGCAAGUCGAGCGGAGCGGCGGACGGGUGAGUAAUGCCUAGGAAUCUGCCUGGUAGUGGGGGAUCACGUCCGGAAACGGGCGCUAAUACCGCAUACUAUCAGAUGAGCCUAGGUCGGAUUAGCUAGUUGGUGGGGUAAAGGCCUACCAAGGCGACGAUCCGUAACUGGUCUGAGAGGAUGAUCAGUCACACUGGGACGGAGACACGGUCCAGACUCCUACGGGAGGCAGCAGUGGGGAAUAUUGGGCAAUGGGCGAAAGCCUGAUCCAGCCAUGCCACGUGUGUGAAGAAGGUCUUCGGAUUGUAAAGCACUGUAGGUUGGGAGGCGUUACCAACAGAAUAAGCACCGGCUAACUCCGUGCCAGCAGCCGCGGUAAUUC